rnacentral:rRNA from 1 species
CCGGUUGAUCCUGCGGGAGAUUGCUGCUAUUCGAGUUCGACUAAGGCAUGCAAGUCGCCUCAUCUUCGGAUGGGGGGCAUAAGGCUCAGUAACAUGUCGCUAAUCUGCCCUUACGUUUUGGAUAACCUCGGGAAACUGUGGCUAAUACAAAAUAGGAAAUAAUGACUGGAAUGUCUCUUUUCUGAAAGGUAACGCGUAAGGAUGAAGCGGCACCAGAUUAGGUUGUUGGCGGGGUAGAGGCCCACCAAGCCUAUGAUCUGUACGGGUCCUGAAAGGGAUAGCCCGGAGAAGGACACUGAGGAACUGGUCCUAGCCCUACGGGGUGCAGCAGCUGCGAAACCUUUACAAUGCACGCAAGUGUGAUAGGGGGACUCGAAGUGCUUACGCUUUGCGUAGGCUUUUGCCAUUGGUAAAAACAAUGGCGAAUAAGUGGUGGGUAAGACUGGUGCCAGCCGCCGCGGUAACACCAGCGCCACAAGUGGGAAUCGGCAUUAUUGGGCUUAAAGCGUUCGUAGCCGGUUAGGUCAGUCUUUUGUGAAAUCGUUGUACUCAAUGCAACGGCGUGCAGAAGAUACUGCCUAACUAGGGACCGGGAGGGGUCAGGAGUAUGCCUGGGGGAGCGGUAAAAUGCUAUAAUCCUAGGUAGACUACCUUUGGCGAAGGCGCCUGACUAGAACGGGUCCGACGGUGAGGAACGAAAGCUGGGGAGCGAUCCGGAUUAGAUACCCGAGUAGUCCCAGCCGUAAACGCUGCCAACUAGAUGUUGCGCAUGCUUCGAGCAUGUGCAGUGUCGAAGGGAAACUAUUAAGUUGGCCGCCUGGGAAGUAUAGUCGCAAGACCGAAACUUAAAGGAAUUGGCGGGGGAGCACUACAACGGGUGCGGCGUGCGGUUUAAUCUAACUCUACACAGAGAAUCUCACCAGCGGCGACGGCAGGAUGAAGGUCAGAUUAAAGGUUUUACCUGACGAGCCGAGAGGUAUUGCAUGGCCGCCGUCAGCUCGUACCGUGAGGUGUCCGGUUAAGUCCGGCAACGAGCAAGACCUGUGCCCACAAUUGCUAACGAGCUCUGCGAUCGAGCACAUUGUGGGGACUGCCGUGGAAACGCGGAGGAAGGUGCAGGCAACGGUAGGUCUGUAUGGUCCGAAUCUGCUGGGCUACACGCGCGCAACAAUGGUAGGCACAAUGGGCUGCGACUCCGAAAGGAGAAGCUAAUCCUCGAAAACCUAUCUCAGUUCAGAUUGAGGCUUGUAACUCAGCCUCAUGACGUCGGAAUCCGUAGUAAUCGGAGGUCAUCAGCUUCCGGUGAUACGUCCCUGCUCCUUGUACUCACCGCCCGU